AUGUCCUAUGUAUGCAUUAAUGCAUCAUUCAUGUUGUUAAGAAUGCAUUCAUUAAAAUAUAUAACACUAUACAAGAAGCAGCUUCAAGUAAGUGUUACGAUAUUAUAUAAUGUCAUAUUAUACUGUUCUAUAUUACAGUGUAUAUCAUGUCAUAUUAUACUGUUCUAUAUUACAGUGUAUAUCAUGUCAUAUUAUACUGUUCUAUAUUACAGUGUAUAUCAUGUCAUAUUAUACUGUUCUAUAUUACAGUGUAUAUCAUGUCAUAUUAUACUGUUCUAUAUUACAGUGUAUAUCAUGUCAUAUUAUAUUAUACUGUUCUAUAUUAGUGUAUAUCAUGUUAUUUUAUACUGUUCUAUAUUACAGUGUAUAUCAUGUCAUAUACUGUUCUAUAUUACAGUGUAUAUCAUGUCAUAUACUGUUCUAUAUUACAGUGUAUAUCAUGUCAUAUUAUACUGUUCUAUAUUACAGUGUAUAUCAUGUUAUAUUAUACUGUUCUAUAUUACAGUGUAUAUCAUGUUAUAUUAUACUGUUCUAUAUUACAGUGUAUAUCAUGUCAUAUUAUACUGUUCUAUAUUACAGUGUAUAUCAUGUCAUAUUAUACUGUUCUAUAUUACAGUGUAUAUCAUGUCAUAUUAUACUGUUCUAUAUUACAGUGUAUAUCAUGUUAUAUUAUACUGUUCUAUAUUACAGUGUAUAUCAUGUCAUAUUAUACUGUUCUAUAUUAGUGUAUAUCAUGUCAUAUUAUACUGUUCUAUAUUAGUGUAUAUCAUGUCAUAUUAUACUGUUCUAUAUUACAGUGUAUAUCAUGUUAUAUUAUACUGUUCUAUAUUACAGUGUAUAUCAUGUUAUAUUAUACUGUUCUAUAUUACAGUGUAUAUCAUGUUAUAUUAUACUGUUCUAUAUUACAGUGUAUAUCAUGUCAUAUUAUACUGUUCUAUAUUACAGUGUAUAUCAUGUCAUAUUAUACUGUUCUAUAUUACAGUGUAUAUCAUGUCAUAUUAUACUGUUCUAUAUUACAGUGUAUAUCAUGUUAUAUUAUACUGUUCUAUAUUACAGUGUAUAUCAUGUCAUAUUAUACUGUUCUAUAUUAGUGUAUAUCAUGUCAUGUUAUAUUAUACUGUUCUAUAUUACAGUGUAUAUCAUGUCAUAUUAUACUGUUCUAUAUUACAGUGUAUAUCAUGUCAUAUUAUACUGUUCUAUAUUACAGUGUAUAUCCUG
rnacentral:lncRNA from 1 species